CCUCCCCGGAUAGUGUUGUGGGAGUGGUUCGUGUCGCGCGUCUAGGGGUAGUGCACUUUUAUGGCUAGGGACACGUCUAGAGGUACCAACCCAUUGCAAACGCCGAAUGCCAGAAAGUGCAAUCACGGGAGACAGACGGCGGGAGAUAAGUUUCGUCGUCGAAAGGGAAACAGCCCAGACCGCCAGCUAAGGUCCCCAAAUCACAGCUCAGUGGGAAACGAUGUGGGAAGGCCCAGACAGCCAGGAGGUUGGCUUAGAAGCAGCCACCCUUUAAAGAAAGCGUAAUAGCUCACUGGUCAAGUCGGCCUGCGCGGAAGAUAUACCGGGGCUAAGCUGUGUACCGAAGCUGCGGAUGCAAGCUUGCUUGCAUGGUAGGGGAGCGUUCUGUAAGCCUGUGAAGGUGUGCCGUGAGGCAUGCUGGAGGUAUCAGAAGUGCGAAUGCUGACGUGAGUAACGAUAAAGGGGGUGAAAAACCCCCUCGCCGAAAGUCCAAGGUUUCCUGCGCAAUGUUAAUCAGCGCAGGGUUAGUCGGCCCCUAAGGCGAGGCCGAAAGGCGUAGUCGAUGGAUAACAGGUUAAUAUUCCUGUACCAAGUGUGAUUGCGAUGGGGGGACGGAGAAGGCUAGGCCAGCCGGGCGUUGGUUGUCCCGGUUUAAGCGUGUAGGGAGUGUUCUUAGGUAAAUCCGGGAGCACAAUUCUGAGACGUGAUGACGAGAUUUCUUUUGAAAGUGAAGUGGUUGAUACCAUGCUUCCAGGAAAAACCUCUAAGCUUCAGGUUAUAUGUGUCCGUACCCUAAACCGACACAGGUGGACAGGGCGAGAAGCCCAAGGCGCUUGAGAGAACUCGGGUGAAGGAACUCGGCAAAAUGACACCGUAACUUCGGGAGAAGGUGUACCUCCGUUAAGUGAUGGUCUUCGCGACCGGAGCGGAAGGGGGUUGCAACAAAGAGGUGGCUGCGACUGUUUAUUAAAAACAUAGCACUCUGCAAACUCGCAAGAGGACGUAUAGGGUGUGACGCCUGCCCGGUGCCGGAAGGUUAAUUGAUGGGGUUAGUCCUCGGACAAAGCUCUUGAUCGAAGCCCCGGUGAACGGCGGCCGUAACUAUAACGGUCCUAAGGUAGCGAAAUUCCUUGUCGGGUAAGUUCCGACCUGCACGAAUGGCGUAACGAUGGCCACGCUGUCUCCACCAGAGACUCAGUGAAAUUGAAUUUGCGGUGAAGAUGCCGUAUACGCGCGGCUAGACGGAAAGACCCCGUGCACCUUUAC
rnacentral:rRNA from 1 species